rnacentral:lncRNA from 1 species
GAGCAAGAUAGAGCUAAGCUAGGGUUUGAUCAAGAGAGAAAGCUUGAGCAAGAGAAGGCUUGGAUCAUCACCAAACUUAAGGUAAGAGAUUAGAAUUCAUGAUUCUUGAGUGGCAAGAAGAGGGGAGAUUGUCUAUGUCUCCAUUCCCGAACUCUCCCACUCAAUUUCUUUUAGACUUUUGAUUAAGCUUUUGUAUGUGAGUGUGAUG